GCGCCCGUAGCUCAACUGGAUAGAGCACCAGACUUCGGAUCUGGGGGCUAGGGGUUCAAAUCCUCUCGGGCGCGCCA
rnacentral:tRNA from 1 species